rnacentral:rRNA from 1 species
UCGCCUGUUUUAACAAAAACAUCACCUCUAGCAUAAUAAGUAUUAGAGGCACUGCCUGCCCGGUGACUUCAGUUCAACGGCCGCGGUAUCCUGACCGUGCAAAGGUAGCAUAAUCACUUGUUCCCUAAAUAGGGACUUGUAUGAAUGGCUCCACGAGGGUUUCGCUGUCUCUUGCUUCAAAUCAGUGAAAUUGACAUUCCCGUGAAGAGGCGGGAAUUCAAAAAUAAGACGAGAAGACCCUAUGGAGCUUUAAUUAACUAACUCACAUAAUUCACAACCAAUCCCUCUACAGAGGACAAAUUUACUUUAACUGAGUUAGAAAUUUGGGUUGGGGUGACCUCGGAAUAAAACUUAACCUCCGAGAAAGAUCAAUUAAGACCUACAAGUCGAAAUUAUGUAAUAGUACACUGAUCCGUCAACGACGAUCAACGAAAUAAGUUACCCUAGGGAUAACAGCGCAAUCCUAUUUAAGAGUCCAUAUCGACAAUUAGGGUUUACGACCUCGAUGUUGGAUCAGGACAUCCCAAUGGUGCAGCAGCUAUUAAUGUGUUCGUUUGUUCAACGAUUAAAGUCCUACGUGAUCUUGAGUCCAAACCGGA